rnacentral:lncRNA from 1 species
CUGCGUGUGGUCUGAAAGAGAACAAGGUGCAACUCGCCGGCUUGUGCUCGUGCAGUACGUCGUGCCGGUGUGUACAGCUCACCUCUGCUCCCCUCCCGUGUUGUUCUCCAUUGAUGCAGUGCACGUUGCCUCCCAACGCAGGUCGUAUUGGUCGUCGGUGCAGUCCGCAAACAUGCCGUUUGUGGUGGUGAUCUACUCCACCAUUCGCGCCCGACCAUCACAGCAACCCUCUUCCCUUGGCUCCCUCCUUCCCUACUCUGCAAACUCCCUCCUCCCAGCAACACUACCCUCUUUCUAGUGAAGGGCAUGCUUCUGAGGCCACAGUGGGUCUCCGUCGUGCUCCCUUCCCCUGGUUCUGGUGCUCGAGUGGAAAAUUGCUAUUUUUUCUCUCGCAGUUCGGUUCACAGACUGCUUGUGGUUCAUUUUGUUGUUAUUUUGUGUAGGAGACAAGGACUGCAACAAAAACUUAAGCACUCCCCUGGCUACGACGCGGCUGCCGGAUGCCCCCAUGUCCUGCUUUUCCCCUGCCAAAUCCACUCCGCUUCCCCUGAUAUGAUGUAUGUCCAGUUUAGUUCGCGUGUGCAAGGUUCUACACUACAUCGAGCUCCCAGGAUACCAAAUUGCAAUUCACUUUUAGAUUCAGAAAAAGGGUGCUGUGCAAUUUUCUAGGGAACUGGAAGUUCAUAUAUUUUUUGAAAAAUUCACUGUCUCUUGGAGAGGUUCGCUCCUCACCGUUGUGGUUUACUCUGUUCCCUGUGAACCAAAACAAAAGAGACACAAAAAGAAAAUUUCCCCUGGUAGUAUGGGAGAGAGCGGUUCGCUUCUGUGGGCCUAGAGGUUCACUCCACAAAAUAUGCAGCUCAAUGUGAUGUUGUUUUAAUUCAGUUCCAUUGUUUUGCUGGAGCUUUGUUGUUGUUAAAGAAAUCCACUGUAGUCAUCAACCACAGCUCGGGAAAAACAUUAACAUUUACUAUGCAACAAAAGUUUUCUCGUUCACUUUCCUCGUGAUUCAUUGCAAAAUGUCUUUUUUAAUGCAGCUCACUAUGUUGGCAUGUGGAGUAGAAAAAAAAAUAAACAAAAAAAUGAUACAUUCCACUUACCUUGUCCUUGCAGUACAUAUUCGUCGAUAAAAAAAGUAUGCGAUAAAAAAAGCAAAACUAAGAUGCAAAAUUAUGCAAUCCACUCGCUCAGUCCUCGAGGUUCACUCGUCCGGUCUUUUGAAGCUCACUUUGUUCUCUCACGAAGUUCGCCAUAAAACUCCUUCGUCGUUCACUUGGUCAUAUGAAACAAAAACACCUCGGAAAACAGCUCACUUCUCAUUAGAUGUCGUUCACUUGCUCAAUCCCUGUGGUCCACUCGCCCGGUCUACGCACGUACAAAAAUAUUAAGUUUGGAAAAAGCUAAAGAGGUUCACUUUCGGUAGCGUCGCGACCCGUUUACGGUAGUCUCGAUGUUCACUUUUCAUAGUAUUGCGGUUUACCAACGCUCGAC